CUCGACUACUAGAAAUGGGUUAUUUAGCAUGCGCGGUCGCUACAUGUGUCCCUUUAUUGUUUUAGCGUUGCCAUGCCUCUUUGAUUAUCGCCAGCGUCCUACACUGUGAACGGCAGCUCGGCACAACCGCAUUUUUGCACUUUAUAUGCCAUAGUGCUGAAACUCAUCAUGUCCAUUUCCACAGAGGCAAAAGUAGGUAAGGAGAACGGGAGGAGCUGAGCCCACUCACAGCCUCCUCAUUAUUUUGGAAUAUUUUUAGAAGUAACAAAGCUCGUAUCCUCAUCCUGCUUUCAUUCGGCAAGUGGCUCAGCCCCCGACUUGAAGACUACAAGCGAGGUCUGUGUGCAAGAUUUCUUUUUCUUCUAGUCUGUAAAAGUCAUUUGACAUCUUUCUCCUGUAUUUCAGGAAAGCGCGUUUGAUGUCGCACUAUCGUCUUUUAUUCUGGUGCCAUCCAAACGCAGCCGGCUUUUUGACUGCUAUGCCGCACAGAAAUGGCAUUGUAGCAGAAGAAAAAAAAAGGGGAAAAAAUCAGAUGUUGGUCCAAAAAGGAAAGAAAAAAAACAUUUGUUACAUCCAACAGCUAAGAAUGCUGCGAAGCCUUUGACUCGUCAUCCUCUCUGUUUGUGUGUAGGCCUACUGCUGUGUGGGAGGGGCACUCUCCCACUUGAUAGAUUUCAGAUCAUAGUUUGUUGGUUCUCUCACAUGUCAGAUACACAGCCGUCUGCAAGUAAAAAUGUCUGCCUGACUAACUGAAACCCACAUGAAACCUACAUUGCGCUUGAUGGCUUUUAGUAUAGAUAUGACAAUGGCCUUCUGUGGCAUGGUAAAUGCAUAAGGAGCAAAGCAUGUGGCAGUAAAAGCACCUUUUGUGGCA